rnacentral:rRNA from 1 species
UCCGUAGGUGGAUAAUUAAGUCAGAGGUGAAAUCCUGCAGCUCAACUGUAGAAUUGCCUUUGAUACUGGUUAUCUUGAGUCAUUAUGAAGUGGUUAGAAUGUGUAGUGUAGCGGUGAAAUGCAUAGAUAUUACACAGAAUACCGAUUGCGAAGGCAGAUCACUAAUAAUGUACUGACACUGAGGGACGAAAGCGUGGGGAGCGAACAGGAUUAGAUACCCUGGUAGUCC